UGAUCUUAAUUAUAGCUGUCAAGAGCUAAACAUUUCUUUUCUACAUCUGGACUAGGAAAUGUUUCCAAUGAACAAUCAUUUUAGGAUCCCAAGUAUCCUAAAUUUCUAAAGCUGUAUUAGUUUUCUAUUACUGCAUAACAAAUUACAAGAAUUUUGAUAUCUUAAAAAAAAAGACCCAUUUAUUAUUUCACAGUUCUGUAGGUCAAAAGUUUGUUGAGACAUGGCUGGGUCUUCUGCUUUGGCUUCAGUAAAAUUGUCUGCUGACUAUUUUAAUACAUUUUUAUCUUGAGCUUGGGGCUCUUUACAAACUCUUUUCUAUUGUUGGCUGAACUCAGUUCCUUGCACUUAUAGAACUGAAGUCCCCAUUUUCUUAUUGUCUGUCUCGUAGGGCUGCUGUCAGCUCCCAGAGUCACUCUCAAAUUUAAGCCACAUGAUUUCCCCCCAUUUCAGCAACAGAGAACUUCCCUCCCAUGCUGCAUCUACUGCCACUAGCCAGACAAAACUCUGAGCUUUUUUUUUUUUUUUUUUUUUUGACAGAGUCCCACUCUGUCACCAAGGCUAGAGUGCAGUGGUGUGAUCUCGGCUCACUGCAACCUCCACCUUCCGGGUUCAAGCGAUUCUCCUGCCUCAGCCUCCUGAGUAGCUGGGAUUACAGGCGCAUGCCACCAUGCCCAGCUAAUUUUUGUAUUUUUAGUAGAGAUGGGGUUUCACCAUGUUGGUCAGGCUGGUCUCGAACUCCUGACCUUGUGAUCUGCCUGCCUCGGCCUCCUAAAGUGCUGGGAUUACAGGCGUGAGCCACUGCGCCUGGCCAAAACUCUGAGCUUUUAAGGGGCUCAUGUGAUUGGGUUAGGCCCCUACAGAUAAUCUCCCUUUUGAUGAACCCAAGGUUAUCUGAUUAGAAAUCUUAAUUAAUGCUGCAAAAAUCCCUUUGCCAUGUAAGGUAACACAAUCAUGAGAGUGAUGCCUCAUCAUAUUCAUAGGUUCUACUCAGGAUUAAAAAGAGAUUACACGAGAGCAAGCAUCAUUGGAGAUCAUCUUAAGAGUUUUGCCUACUAAAAAGUACUAGUAUCUGGGGCAAGCAACAUAGGUUUUUGAGGCUAUCUGAAUAUCUGUCUUACAGUCUUCUAUUCUCAAACAAGCUUUCUUUCCAAAUUCCCUGUUUCUGUAAGUGUCAUCCAAGUUUAGUAAUAAGUUUCAUUAACUUUCCUUUCAAACAUAUUUUAUAUUUGUUCUUUAUAUCAUUGCUAUUUAGCUGUAAGCAUGCCAUACAUAUAUUACUGCAGCAGUCUACUUUCUGCUGUUCCUCAAUGUGAGCUCUCUCUUCCCUCCGUGACAGAAUCCAUCCUGAAAAGCAAUGAUGUUAAAGAAUAUUAUACUACUUAAAAAUCAAUCAAUGGGAUCUCUUUUCUGUAACAUUAAAAUAAGUCUUCAUUGAACAAUUUUAAGAAUUUAAGAAUUUUAAGUCCAUCAGAAAUAUGGUUUUGCCCAUAAAUAUCUAACCUUAUUUUGCUUGGAUAAGCAUGGAUCUAAACCCAGUCCAUAUCCCCUAUCCUUUUUCUUGUCUAGGCAGAUGUAUCCACUUCCUCACAACACAAUGGUGUUAAUUCCUGCUAAUUUUAUCCCUAGAUAUCACAUGAUCCUUUCUCUUGAUUUUAUUUGCUCUUUCUUCAAGGCAAUGGAUAAUUUUAGUGCCUUCUUGAGACUUUCCUUUAUUCUUCAUUACAGUUAGAAGUACAUGAUAGUCUUCUCUACCUAAUUAAAUUAUAGCCCAUUUUCCAAAUUAUGUUAUAAAGUGCUUGAGAGUAGAUAUAUUUGUAUCUUAUAAUUUUGUGCCUAUAUAUAAUUGUUCCUCAAAAUAUUAAUGCCAACUACUUUCUCUUAAUAAGGAAAUGAUAAAGUCAAAGUCAAAAGCUAUGACUGAGAAAUAUGUUUCUACAAAGUGGAAUGACUUGAUAUUAGGUAGCAUUUUAAUAUGCCUGGAUGAGCUUUGAAUGCCCUUCUCCAUUCAUGAACAUAAUGGAAAAUUAAAGUACUAAAUACCUUUGCCUCCGAUGUUUGGGUAAACGCUAAUAAAGUUGUCAAUUACUUGGCCAGUUGCAGCCAAAUUGUUUUAAAUAAAUUAUCCAAAUAAUGUUUUUUUCUCUUCACCCUUACCAAGAGAGACCCUGGGAGCAGAACACAAAUUAAGCCCAUAUCUGAAUUUACAAGGAAAAUAUCUGAAACUAUAUUUACAUCCAAGUUUGCAAUUUUCUUUUCUUUUCUUCUUUUUUUUUUUUUUUUGAGAUGGAGUCUUGCUCUGUUGCACAGGCUGUAGUACAGUGGCAUAAUCUCGGCUCACUGCAACCUCCGCAUCCCAGGUUCAAGCCAUUCUCCUGCCUCAGCCUCCUGAGAAGCUGAGAUUACAGGCGCAUGCCACCACGCCCGCCUAAUUUUUUGUAUUUUAGUAGAAACGGGGUUUCACUGUGUUGCCCAGGCUGGUCUUGAACUCCUGGGCUCAGGUGAUCCGCCCACCCUGGCCUCCCAAAGUGCUGGGAUUACAGGCGUGAGCCAGCGCACCCGGCCUACAAUUUUCAAAGCAAUCUCGUGUUGAAGAAGGAAAUGUCUUCAACAGUGGUCCAUCUUCAGUCUUUAUCCUAUGAAACCUCUAUGUGGUUUUUGGAGUUUUGGGCCACUAGUUUGUUCCUGAAAUUCUCUCCUUCCCUAGAUUUUUACUGGUUUUCUCUGGAUUUCUUAAGCUAUCUCUGGCUACACCUUACUAGUCUCAAUCUGUCUCUGAAUACACCAUAAAAAGCAGUAAUAUUCAAGAUUCUAUUUUUGUUUUUCCCUAUAUAUACUUUUUAUUUUUAUUUUUUUUACCUGAAAAAAUUCAUUCAUCGCUGUGACUUUAACUUUCAUUUGAA
rnacentral:lncRNA from 1 species